GGAGAGGCAACCCGGCUCAGCUCCUCCUCGGUCCCCGCACCAGCUUGGCGAUUCACCGCCGAAGGAGCAGGGCGCUUCUACCGCUUCCACCGAAGCAGGAAGGACGGAAGGGGAAGCCAGACAGAAAGGGAGCUGGCUGCCAAUAUAAAGUCUGUCUUCUGCUCGGCCCGCGUAUACGAAAUGCUCCCAGAGACAAUGUGAGAAGGCCUGCAAUUUUCUGUGCUCCUGGCAAUGGAAAGGAGAGGUAGAUAUGGAAAGAUCCCCCUCCAGAUGAUGAAUGCUGCCCGAGCUCAUAUCGGUGAAGGGAACCUGUGCCAUUCGGUCAAAUGCAACCGCCCUUGCAAGACGUGGCUUGUCAGCGCUACUACUCAUCGAAAUGUAAACUCAUCUCUGAAGACCCGGCAGGCAGAAGUACUCUCCCCACCCCAACCCCACCCACGGACUUUGCAGCAUCAGUCCAUUUGUACACUCGGAUCUCUAAGGAAAACAGCAUCAUCGACGUGAAUGACAAGUACGCCCGAUGCUUGCUACAGCGGGAGCCGGGGAGCGGGCGGUCAGAUGCUCCGCCGGGGCUGUCCACUCCGCGGGCACUGAAAACUUCAGGGAAGGUCUCUCUUGGAGCCAACGCGGACUUGACAAAACAGUUGACAAUUAGAGCAAAGCACGUACGGCAGAAUCAUUAGAACUCACAGAAGCCCCAGCCCUAGCGGCGACACCGCGGCGUGGCGAUGCCCCCAUGGCUUCGGAAAUACCCGCUAUUCCUUUAAAAAGUCCCCCCGCAGGCCGGAAGUGACCGCACGGCGCUCCUCGGUGCAGCGCGGCCUCGAGCCUCGCGCACGUCCGCGGUCCCGUGGGUUUCCUGCUCUUGCUGCAGUUCUCCGCCGCCAGUCCUCUCCGCGCGGGCAGUUCGGUCACUAAAUCUCAGAGACCCGGCGCCUCCCCCACGCUCCAGCCUACGCCAGGCUGCUUCCGGGUUCGGCCUGCGCUCCCGGCCCGCUCUAGUGACGCACUUCCGGCGGUGACCAGGCUCGGCUCCGCCCCCAGCUGACACGCGGGCAGAUCGGGUGCCUAGCGGUGCACUGUACUGGUAGCACCGCGAGCUCCUACACCGGGGACCGACUGCUCCGCCACGGAUCGGUUUCUGGGGUUCCUUACCGUCCUGGGCGGAAAUGGAUAGAAUCCGCCAGACCACACGACCCGGGGCCUAACUCUCCAGCCCUGUGACCGCGGCCGUCCGUGUCCCAGCUCUCCUUGGCUUUGCCCAGGGCCCCUGUCCCUUGGCACUGGGACCUUCAGAAGUUGAAAGGGUUUGCCAGAGGCAUCUCAACCACCCUUUCAAAGCCAGUCUAAGAAAGGGCCACAUGGUGACACCCACCCUCUUGGACUGAAUAUCUCAGGUCUUCCUAGGGUUUCCUCCCGGAAUUACUUAGUUAUACACAUUCUGUUUCAUCCUCUUCUCACAGGUUGUGUCUUUUGGAUCGAGAAGUUCAGGCAGAAAGCGUUCGCUUUUAUUUUUUCUUUGUAUUUCUCACGAUGCUGUAUGACUUGACAUCAUAAUCUGGUGUCUGGUUAAGUAUAAAGAAACUGUUCUUCUCACCCCUCCACGGGGCUGUUUGGAUUGUUUAUUUUGUAAUAAUGUAUUAUACCGUUUAGAAAGCACAGGAAACACAGCUUGGGCGAGUUCGGUGUUUCCUGCUGAAAAUUGUGAGUAUAACGUUCCAUG
rnacentral:lncRNA from 1 species